rnacentral:tRNA from 1 species
GCCAGUGUGGUGUAGUGGUUAAGAGUGGUGGACUCAUAAUCUGGGGAACCGGGUUCAAUUCCCCGCUCCUCCACAGGCA